rnacentral:rRNA from 1 species
UACGUAGGAUGCGAGCGUUGUCCGGAUUUAUUGGGCGUAAAGAGCUCGUAGGCGGCUUGGCAAGUCAGGUGUGAAAACUUCAGGCUCAACCUGGAGACGCCACUCGAUACUGCCAUGGCUAGAGUCCGGUAGGGGACCACGGAAUUCCUGGUGUAGCGGUGAAAUGCGCAGAUAUCAGGAGGAACACCGGUGGCGAAGGCGGUGGUCUGGGCCGGCACUGACGCUGAGGAGCGAAAGCGUGGGUAGCAAACAGG